rnacentral:tRNA from 1 species
GCACACGUAGGCAAGAUAGUAAGCCGGCGGAUUGCAACCCCGCCAUGCAGCCGUGCAAAUCGGCUCGUGUGCUCCA